rnacentral:rRNA from 1 species
AUUGAACGCUGGCGGCAGGCCUAACACAUGCAAGUCGAACGAGUGGCGGACGGGUGAGGAAUGUCUGGGAAAAUGCCCGAUGGAGGGGGAUAACUACUGGAAACGGUAGCUAAUAACGCAUACCAUCAGAUGUGCCCAGAUGGGAUUAGCUAGUUGGUGGGGUAACGGCUCACCAAGGGGACGAUCCCUAGCUGGUCGGAGAGGAUGACCAGCCACACCGGACCUGAGACACGGUCCAGCCUCCUACGGUAGGCAGCAGUGGUGACUAUUGCACAAUGGGCGCAAGCCUGAUGCAGCCAUGCCGCGUGUAUGAAGAAGGCCUUCGGGUUGUAAAGUACUUUCAGCGGGGAGGCGUUACCCGCAGAAGAAGCACCGGCUAACUCCGUGCCAGCAGCCGCGGUAAUUC